CCAGACUCCUACGGGAGGCAGCAGUGGGGAAUCUUCCGCAAUGGACGAAAGUCUGACGGAGCAACGCCGCGUGAGUGAUGACGGCCUUCGGGUUGUAAAGCUCUGUUAAUCGGGACGAAAGGCCUUCUUGCGAAUAGUGAGAAGGAUUGACGGUACCGGAAUAGAAAGCCACGGCUAACUACGUGCCAGCAGCCGCGGUAAUACGUAGGUGGCAAGCGUUGUCCGGAAUUAUUGGGCGUAAAGCGCGCGCAGGCGGAUAGGUCAGUCUGUCUUAAAAGUUCGGGGCUUAACCCCGUGAUGGGAUGGAAACUGCCAAUCUAGAGUAUCGGAGAGGAAAGUGGAAUUCCUAGUGUAGCGGUGAAAUGCGUAGAUAUUAGGAAGAACACCAGUGGCGAAGGCGACUUUCUGGACGAAAACUGACGCUGAGGCGCGAAAGCCAGGGGAGCGAACGGGAUUAGAUACCCCGGUAGUCCUGGUCGUAAACGAUGGGUACUAGGUGUAGGAGGUAUCGACCCCUUCUGUGCCGGAGUUAACGCAAUAAGUACCCCGCCUGGGGAGUACGACCGCAAGGUUGAAACUCAUAGGAAUUGACGGGGGCCCGCACAAGAAGGGCGAAUUCC
rnacentral:rRNA from 1 species